UUGAAAAGAAUCCUGGUCCAGGAUAAAAAAUAAUACUUGAGAUUCCUUGUUUGCGAAGGAGCUGGCUGUGGCCAUCUAUCCUUACAGGGAAGACAACAAACACAGAAAGGCGGCCGGCAGACACACGCAUGCGUAGACGACGAGCUCCUUCGCAUGGACCACUCAGGACAGCCCUUCCAGGUCCGAGGCGAAGCAGCUGUCUGGCGAGGGAAGGGGAGAUGUUUCUGGAACGGCCCAUCUCAUGGAUCGAGGACCUGGGUGCGGGGGGGAGGCACCCAAGGCCAGACCCUGGAUGUGGAGAAAGCUUGGUACCCUUGGCUUAGCAGUUGCCCCCGUUCAUCUGCUGGAGAACGCUUAUGGUUUGUGAGGAC